AUGUUUAGUCAAAUACUUUGACUCUCCUUUUACUCUAUUUGUAUUUAGUCUAGGUCAACAGUUACAAUAGUUUCUCCCUCUAAUCCUGGAAGCUUCUCUUCUUCAUCUUCGAUCACCGAAGUUUUACUUUUGUUAUGGUAUUAGAGCUAUCUCGUCACCGAUUCUGAUUGAUUCUGGCGAAUGGCUUAGUGCUUCUAACUGUUGUGAUGUUAUCACUAUCAAUCCUGACUAUGAGUGGUUUAAAGAGCAAUAUGAAGCUAUUGCUACAUGGCUUUUGUUCAUAAAGGUUCUGUUGCAAGGACGUGAGUCAGGUGGAACAUUGAAGAGCUGUUAUGUGCAUCCUUCGGUUUCUUUCUGGAAAAUUAAAGCAUGUGUAUCAAUUGAGGAUCAUCGUUCCACUACAAGGUAUUGUAUCUUUCUUGGUGGCAACCCUAUUUCACAGUGUUCUAAAAAGCAGAGUGUGGUUUCUCGAUCCACCUCUGAGGGCAAGUACGAAAGUUUGGCUAAUUUUAUUUUGGAACUAACUUGGAUCAAGCAACUUCUUGCUGAAGUUGGUGUUUGCGUUGAAGGGUAGCCAAUCGUCUAGUGUGAUAAUUCCUCCAUCAUGGCUAUGGCUUCAAAUUACACUUAUCAUGCUUGAGUCAAGCAAGUGGAAAUUGAUUUACAUUUUAUUUGAGAGAAAGUCCUUUCUAGAUAACUGUUGAUUAAUUUCAUGCCCUCAACAGAGCAGGUAGUUGACAUACUUACAAAGCCUAUGCCACCUGUUUGUUUUUCUCGGAUGAGACAAUAACUUAGAGUUGUCACCUUGUCAGAAAUUUUGGAAGAAGAAGCAA